CACGUAGGGUGCGAGCGUUGUCCGGAAUUAUUGGGCGUAAAGAGCUCGUAGGCGGUGUGUCGCGUCGGCCGUGAAAACCUGCAGCUUAACUGUGGGCGUGCGGUCGAUACGGGCAUCACUGGAGUUCGGCAGGGGAGACUGGAAUCCCUGGUGUAGCGGUGAAAUGCGCAGAUAUCAGGAGGAACACCGGUGGCGAAGGCGGGUCUCUGGGCCGAUACUGACGCUGAGGAGCGAAAGCGUGGGGAGCGAACAGG
rnacentral:rRNA from 1 species